rnacentral:rRNA from 1 species
AGAGUUUGAUCCUGGCUCAGGACGAACGCUGGCGGCGCGCCUAACACAUGCAAGUCGAACGAGAGAUGAGGAGCUUGCUCUUCAAAUCGAGUGGCGAACGGGUGAGUAACGCGUGAGGAACCUGCCUCAAAGAGGGGGACAACAGUUGGAAACGACUGCUAAUACCGCAUAAGCCCACGGCUCGGCAUCGAGCAGAGGGAAAAGGAGCAAUCCGCUUUGAGAUGGCCUCGCGUCCGAUUAGCUAGUUGGUGAGGUAACGGCCCACCAAGGCGACGAUCGGUAGCCGGACUGAGAGGUUGAACGGCCACAUUGGGACUGAGACACGGCCCAGACUCCUACGGGAGGCAGCAGUGGGGAAUAUUGCACAAUGGGGGAAACCCUGAUGCAGCGACGCCGCGUGGAGGAAGAAGGUCUUCGGAUUGUAAACUCCUGUUGUUGAGGAAGAUAAUGACGGUACUCAACAAGGAAGUGACGGCUAACUACGUGCCAGCAGCCGCGGUAAAACGUAGGUCACAAGCGUUGUCCGGAAUUACUGGGUGUAAAGGGAGCGCAGGCGGGAGAACAAGUUGGAAGUGAAAUCCAUGGGCUCAACCCAUGAACUGCUUUCAAAACUGUUUUUCUUGAGUAGUGCAGAGGUAGGCGGAAUUCCCGGUGUAGCGGUGGAAUGCGUAGAUAUCGGGAGGAACACCAGUGGCGAAGGCGGCCUACUGGGCACCAACUGACGCUGAGGCUCGAAAGUGUGGGUAGCAAACAGGAUUAGAUACCCUGGUAGUCCACACCGUAAACGAUGAUUACUAGGUGUUGGAGGAUUGACCCCUUCAGUGCCGCAGUUAACACAAUAAGUAAUCCACCUGGGGAGUACGACCGCAAGGUUGAAACUCAAAGGAAUUGACGGGGGCCCGCACAAGCAGUGGAGUAUGUGGUUUAAUUCGAAGCAACGCGAAGAACCUUACCAGGUCUUGACAUCCCGAUGACCGGCCCGUAACGGGGCCUUCUCUUCGGAGCAUUGGAGACAGGUGGUGCAUGGUUGUCGUCAGCUCGUGUCGUGAGAUGUUGGGUUAAGUCCCGCAACGAGCGCAACC